rnacentral:rRNA from 1 species
AGUGAACGCUGGCGGUAGGCCUAACACAUGCAAGUCGAACGGCAGCACAGUAAGAGCUUGCUCUUACGGGUGGCGAGUGGCGGACGGGUGAGGAAUACAUCGGAAUCUACUUUUUCGGGGGGGAUAACGGAGGGAAACUUACGCUAAUACCGCAUACGACCUACGGGUGAAAGCAGGGGAUCUUCGGACCUUGCGCGACUGAAUGAGCCGAUGUCGGAUUAGCUAGUUGGCGGGGUAAAGGCCCACCAAGGCGACGAUCCGUAGCUGGUCUGAGAGGAUGAUCAGCCACACUGGAACUGAGACACGGUCCAGACUCCUACGGGAGGCAGCAGUGGGGAAUAUUGCGCAAUGGGCGAAAGCCUGAUCGAGCCAUGCCGCGUGGGUGAUGAAGGUCUUCGGAUUGUAAAGCCCUUUUGUUAGGAAAGAACAGCAGUGUGAUUAUCCACCGCCGUUCUGACGGUACCCAAAGAAUAAGCCCCGGCUAACUUCGUG